rnacentral:rRNA from 1 species
UACAGAGGUCUCAAGCGUUGUUCGGAUUCAUUGGGCGUAAAGGGUGCGUAGGUGGCGUGGUAAGUCGGGUGUGAAAUUUCGGAGCUUAACUCCGAAACUGCAUUCGAUACUGCGCGGCUAGAGUGCUGGAGGGGAGACUGGAAUUUACGGUGUAGCAGUGAAAUGCGUAGAUAUCGUAAGGAAGACCAGUGGCGUAGGCGAGUCUCUGGACAGCAACUGACGCUGAGGCACGAAGGCCAGGGGAGCAAACAGG